rnacentral:rRNA from 1 species
AUUGAACGCUGGCGGCAGGCCUAACACAUGCAAGUCGAACGGUAACAGGAAGCAGCUUGCUGCUUCGCUGACGAGUGGCGGACGGGUGAGUAAUGUCUGGGAAGCUGCCCGAUGGAGGGGGAUAACUACUGGAAACGGUAGCUAAUACCGCAUAAUGUCGCAAGACCAAAGAGGGGGACCUUCGGGCCUCUUGCCAUCGGAUGUGCCCAGAUGGGAUUAGCUUGUUGGUGGGGUAACGGCUCACCAAGGCGACGAUCCCUAGCUGGUCUGAGAGGAUGACCAGCCACACUGGAACUGAGACACGGUCCAGACUCCUACGGGAGGCAGCAGUGGGGAAUAUUGCACAAUGGGCGCAAGCCUGAUGCAGCCAUGCCGCGGGUAUGAAGAAGGCCUUCGGGUUGUAAAGUACUUUCAGCGGGGAGGAAGGGAGUAAAGUUAAUACCUUUGCUCAUUGACGUUACCCGCAGAAGAAGCACCGGCUAACUCCGUG